rnacentral:lncRNA from 1 species
AAGCUAAAAUCACACGCCCCUCUCACUUCUCCAUAUAAUUUCAUGUGCCAUGCAUAUGAGGCGUGUGCUCCUCUUGAUCUUAUCCAAAGGUGGCAUGCGCCCCACUUGAUCAUUUUCAAAAAAAUCUGCACCAAGUCAUGGGAGAGAAAGUAGAAAUAAACCAAUUAAUUGGCUCGACCCAAUCCUAUUGAGGCACCCAAUGUGAUGCCCCUCUUGAUCCAAAUAGAUUAGUUAAGGAUUAAGGCUAUUAACUUGAUCUAAAUCUUAUUUAAUAAGGAAUCAAGUCCAAAAAAG